rnacentral:lncRNA from 1 species
AAGAAGAGUCUGAGCCCCAGUGCUGCACCCUGCUCUUCCCAGGGAAACAUAUUUAGUGCUAGCAACUGGUUGUAAUUUCUCACUGGACUAAGUAGGAGUGUGAGGGUGGCACAUGCCACAGUAUUGCACAUGCUGAGAAACUGACAAGGACCAGGAUGCCCUCUGAAUUUUCAUACCCAGGAGCUGUAUGUCGGACCACUUCAUGCUCUUUUCUCACAGACACAGCUGCUGGGUUUAUUCAAGCAACUAUGCGGAAAACCUUUUCAAUGUGUUUAUGGAUGCAUGGACAUUCCGUUCUGAAAUGGAACAUCCAGAAGCCUAUCUGUAUGUGGGAUUACCUCAUUCAGUGUGUGUAAGAGCAUAAAUGGAUUGAAUGUCAGCUUGUCUGGAAUCUCUAGUGGUCCCUGGCUUCAAGCCCCCUCUUCAAAGACUUUGUCAUGCGCAAAAUGGCUGUGGAAUCCUGAGGAUAGAAGGGAAUCCAAGAUUUGGAUGUGACUGGCUGUAAGGGGAAGAAAUGAUGCCAGCAGAUCAGCCUGAAGAGGCAGCAUGGACUGGUGUUCCUGUAUUACUUUGGAAUUUUAAAAUUAUUUUAUGUAACAAAAUCAGAUGCCAGGAACAUUAGUAUUGCCUGAAGGUCUCAGCAGCUUCUGUACUAACUGGUUGAGGUUUAUCCUGUUUAUGUCUGUUUGGAUAAAGCACAAUGCCAUCGUUAAGAGUCAAGAAUGUAAGCCAAACCUCUGGAGGAGGUUUUGAGCCAAAAUUCCUGGGGGAUGAGGAGGGGAGAGGCAGCAUGAAGAUGCUGAACUGUGCAAAGUGACCUCACUUCCUGUGGCAAAACUCUGCCCCUAAUGGGAAUGUCUGCCAGAGCUGGAGGAAUCAAGGUUUUCCUCCCAGUCAAACAGCAGGACUUAUCAUCGGCCUUGCUGCUGGCAGUAGGGGAGACAGGUUUAUCUAUAGUAGGGCAAGCAGCAGAGACAGGCAGAUGCCAAGGUCUUGAUGCCAAGGAAUAUCUAAGGGUGAAUGUGGUAGCACUUUAAAAAGAAAAGCAAUCAGGAAUUACGAAAUGAACUGUGUAACAGUAAAUCUGACAUCCAUAUCAGGCCUACUAUUGCUGAAAAAUAACAUUCUAGUAUAGAUGUUAAGUUUUCAAGCUGUGUUUUCAGGUAUAUUGGGGGACAGAUAACAUAUCUAUUGUAAAAGAAGCCUUGUGAUGCAAAUCUAUUAGAUUGAAGGAGUAUGUUAAUAAGAUUCUGGUGAUAUAGAUAUGCAAAAACUACAGAAAUAUUUAAGACUUAAAAGUUUUUGACUAAAAUUCUUCAUUAAAUGCUCUUUUAGAAACAAUGUUGGUCAUGGACUGAAAGAGAUGGUCCUUUUCUGGCUUAGUAACUGAUUUAUGGAUAGGAAGAAAAGGGUUAGAACAAAUCUGAAGGGAAGGCAUUAGUGACAGUGGGGAUUAUGCUGCUCUGCAUGUCUGUGGGUGUUCUGGAAAAGAGAUGAAAAGUGAGGUGACAAAACUUGGUGAUGAGAGAAAAGUAUUUGCCAUAGUCAAACAAGAAUCCAGCUGAGAAAUAGGAAUCUUAAAUCAGUGAGUGACUGGGAAAUAAAGUGACAGUGGAAAGUCUGUGUUGACA